GCGAAGAGGCCGACGACGGAGCGGCUGAUGGGGGGCGCCGGGAGCGGGUGGAUGACGCCGAGCUGGGUGCGGAGCUUGGAGACGAGCGGGUCCUCCCCUCCCCGGUAGGUCCCCGGGGCCGUGACCGAGAAGGGCGCCGGCGCCUCGACAGCGGCGGAGGUGGAGGGGGCCUCGGGCGGGAGGGUGGUGGUGGGGACCGGCGCCGAGCGCUUGGGGGCAAAGCUGGAGGAGGCUCGGGGGACGGGAAGGCGUCGGCAUCGUCGGGGAAGGUAGAGGAGAGAGUAGGACGUGGAGGGGCUGCUAGCUGCGGAGAGGGAGGGCGGCGGUAUGCCGGCCGAGGGGGUCAGCAUCGGCGACCACCGCCAGAGACACCCACCCAGUC
rnacentral:misc_RNA from 1 species